CCUACGGGUGGCAGCAGUGGGGAAUAAUGCACAAUGGGGGAAACCCUGAUGGUGCGACGCCGCGUGAAGGAAGACGGGUAUCGGAUUGUAAAAUUCUGGUCUUGGGGAAGAAAAAUGACGGUAGAGAAAGAGCAAGCGACGGCUAACGAAGUGCCAGCAGCCGCGGUAAUAUGUAGGUGGCAAGCUGUGUACGGAAUUAAUGCGUGUAAAGUGAGCGCAGGCGGGAAGCCAAGUCAGCUGUGAAAACGACGGGCUUAACUUGUAGACUGCACUUGAUACUGGUUUACUUGAGUGAAGUAGAGGUUGCCGGAAUUCGGAGUGUAGCAGUGAAAUGCGUAGAUAUUCGGAGGAACACCGGUGGCGAAGGCGGCCAACUGGGCUUUAACUGACGCUGAGGCUCGAAAGUCUGGGGAGCGAACGGGAUUAGAUACCCUAGUAGUC
rnacentral:rRNA from 1 species